rnacentral:lncRNA from 1 species
GGCAAAAUGUUAUUUGUCCUUUGGUUGGGAUCCCAUUGUAUCUCUAAAUUGCUUAUGGUAGAAUGGAAAUUUUCAUUUUGUCGAUUUUACCGAUGAAUGAACAUGGCAGAUUUUUCUAUUUUUGUGUGUCUUCUUCCAUUUCUUUAAUGUUUAUUAAUUUUCAUUGUAGACAUUUUCAUGGAUAUGAAACUGGACACCGAGUUGACGCUGAAGUUCAGCUGCUGGGUAAUCUUCCAUUUCUGGAGCCUGCUCAUCUUCCUUGUAAAACCCGGCUAGGCCUUCACCCUGGACAGGAGCAACUGAGGAUCUGGAUGUGAAACUAACCCAGAGUGGACGCUGAAGCUCAGCUGCCAAGUAAUCUCCCAUUCCCAGAGAGACUGCACAGCUUCCUGCUCAACGCCAGCUGGGUCUUCUUCCUGGAGAGGAGCAACAGGUGAGCAGAUGUGGCUGCCCCAGUAGUGGCCAUGUCUGGAUGCACAAGGGGAAGGGAAGGGAAAGCCCAUUCCCUGGGGUUGGGCGGCCCAGGCUGACAGUGAUGGGCCCUUACCCCAUGGCAAGGAGGGUCAUGUGGGGUAGCCCCACAGGCAUGGGGAGAAAUGUAGGGGCCUGGUGGGCUUCAGUAGAGUUGGAUAGCAUGCAGACAGGGAUGGAUAGGAUGUUGGGGGAAUGAGUUCCCCCGGGCACUGCAGAGAAUUAGGGGCCAAAGAACAUGGUAAUAGGGAAAGACUUGGGUAUCCAGGAAAUGGGAGGGAGACCUGGAGGACAAGUGUGUGCUGUCGAGUCAGAGUACAAAACCCAAGAAGUCUGGAUUGGAGAGACGUGUUAAUAAAAGUUUGGGUUUGAGAUUUCGGGCCUAAGAA